rnacentral:lncRNA from 1 species
UUGAGAUUUUACCGUAGAAGUUCCUAUAUUACUUCCUGCCAUUUCCAUGUACUCUGGAUAUUAAAUGUAAAAACAGGUGCAGUAUAUUUGUUUGAAGAGAUUAUUGGGUAGUUUAUUAACUUGGGUACUCAUUUUGCUCUUUGUACUAUAUGCCACCCCAAAUUUAUAGCCUUUGAAUAAUUAAGCAAUGUUUGUUUCUGAAAGACAUCAGCACCACUGUAGAGGGGGUAUUAUACACUUAAUAUUUCUUAUUAAACAUAUGUGUGAAAUGUUUGGGUCUCAUUGUUUUAAAGGUAGAAAGCAACUCUAGCCCUGACAUAGAAACUUUUUGUUGUUGUUGUUGCUUAAAGGAUUUUCCAUUAGAUAAUUCACAAAUUUAACAGUUAUGAUUACUUUUACCUAGAUGACUGUGUGGAUAUCUUGAAAGUUGUCUUCUGAGUUCCCUGACUCUUCUUUGAUCUGAGGUAGUUUUCCUGAUGUGCUAUUAAUAAGGAAGAAGGAAUGAAGCACUUAGUUCCCUAAACUCUGAGAGUGCUACUGGAAGAUAGUCUGUUGUGAUUCACCCUUAUUGGGAAUUUUCUUGACUGAAGAAAACUACCUCAUCCAAAGCAACAAUCCCUUCCAUGGAUAGCCUGCAUCCAACAGCUCAUCAAUGGAAAGAUAUAAAUGCUUGCCUCCCUCACUCCAACUCAGCAUGAUUCUGAAGAACCAUUCUCAUUCAAAUGCUUACCAAGAAUUCAACUGGGGCCUUUAUUGAGAUUGUGACAGAGCUCAACCCUCCGCCCAAUCCAGCUUUCCUCCCUUCUCUUACACAGGAGAAAAGCUCAAGACACAGAUGUCCACACCCAACAACUAGCUAAUCUACUUUAAAUGCCAAAGAUGAAUACAAAAAAAGAAAAAGAAAAAGAAACUACAACUUUUAUCUGCAAUUUGACAGAGCAAAUUUUUAUGAAUGAAUCCAGAUGGCUACUCCAGUUGCCUUCCAGCAUAUGGACAAAGGUGAGAGUGAUUUUUUCUGAUAUGAUAUUCUGCUUUCUAGUUGGUGACAAAUAUUUUACCCCUUGAGAUGAAUUUUAAAAUCUUUCCCUUGGCCAGGUGCGGUGGCUCACGCCUGUAAUCCUAGCACUUUGGGAGGCCGAGGUGGGCAGAUUGACUGAGUUCAGGAGUUUGAGACCAGCCUGGGCAACACGGUGAAACUCCAUUUCUACUAAAAAAGAAAAAAUUAGCCAGGCGUGGCGGCGUGCACUGAUAGUGCCAGCUACUCGGGAGGCUGAAGCAGGAGAAUUGCGAGACUCCAUUUCCAAAACAAACAAACAAACAAACAAACAAAAAAACCCAUUUCCCUUUCUGGAUCAGAGCACAAAUGAUACAAUUUUUAAAAAAUACCUUGGUUUUCUUUCUUGUCUGUUUGCACAAACCUGCUUUCAACCUCAUGAUUGUUUCUUCCAAUUGAGAUCUGAUUGGCAAAGCCA